GAACGCACCUUGCGCCUUCUGGUAUUCCGGAAGGCAUGCCUGUUUGAGUGUCAUGAACACCUCACCCCCUCGGGUUUCCGAUUGGGUGGAUUUGGGCGCUGCCAGUCACAUGGCUCGCCUUAAAAGCAUUAGCGGUUGUUGACUUAAUAAGUUUCGUCUUGUCGACCGCUUCUAAUCUCCUUAGGGAUGUCUUCGGACACUUCAUGAUCUGACCUCAAAUCAGGUAGGACUACCCGCUGAACUUAAG
rnacentral:misc_RNA from 1 species